GCUUUGCGACUUAUUUUCAUUGCCUUACCUAGCCACAGGUCAGUGACGCGCCAGAUACAUGCGUCAUCCGCCAGACACUCCCCCGAAGCCAGCGAGGAUGGCUGCGCGCGCGUUUGAGCGCUCGCGCGCGGCGACCCGUCUGUCUCCUUCUUUUUUUCUUUUUUAAGUGUAACCUGGUUUAUUGGGCUCUCGGCGUAUUCUUGCGUUCCUUCUGCACUGGGACAAGACACCACUGCACUAUUGGACUACGGCAAGCUGGUACCGUCCGGUGGAGCUUCAUACAGGAACUACUGCCUUACCUGCUGGUGUCACAACGUUGGAUGAACGCACAAAAAGCGCGGAACGAGCUUUUAUAUAGAGCAAAAUAAAUAUUUCCUCAUUGCACAAAA